rnacentral:piRNA from 2 species
UGGAAGAAAUGAAGUAUCUGGCCA